UACGGAGGGUGCGAGCGUUGUCCGGAAUCAUUGGGCGUAAAGGGCGCGUAGGUGGCCCGGUCAGUUCGUGGUGAAAGCGGCGGGGCUCAACCCUGCGUCGGCCAGGGAUACUGCCGCGGCUCGAGCACUGUAGAGGCAGGCGGAAUUCCGGGUGUAGCGGUGGAAUGCGUAGAGAUCCGGAAGAACAUCAGUGGCGAAGGCGGCCUGCUGGGCUGUUGCUGACGCUGAGGCGCGACAGCGUGAGGAGCAAACAGG
rnacentral:rRNA from 1 species